CUAACACUCCAGUUACCUUGGAGGUUACAGGCUACGACCGAUGUAAAAAGUAUUUUUAGAAAGGGAAGAAUUAAAUUUAAGGUGAAACCCAAGACUUUUGGUAUUCAAAUUAUAUGAACCUUAACGUUUGGGAAAAUGUGUGAAACAAAAAGCCUUACUGAACUUAUUUUUUUCUUACUCAAAGCACAAGAGAAUCAGUUCCUGUUUCAGCUCCUCUCUAAAAUUUACAAGUUUGGACCCACAGGAGGCCUCCUGAAAACAGGACUAUCCUGGAGAACCAGCUGGUCUUCACAUGGCUGCUCAAUGUCUGCGUCUUUGUUUUCAGUCUUGGCUCUGCUUAAAAAGAAACGUUGCACUUAUUUUGUACCAGAUGCCAAGAAUUUGAGAUAUUUAUCCAGGCCAGAAGAAACAAAGUGAAGCAUUAAAGAAACCUUGUUGUCUUUUUCGUCCAUACCUGAGAACCUGAGAUUCGUCCACCAUUCGAGUUGAACAACAAAAUGAAAACAAAUUACUCUGGACUUUUCAUUCAAUUGGAUGGAACAUGAAACUUUAUGAAAGCCAGUUGUUUUCUAUUUAUAGAUGAUCUUAUCGCAGACAUAUCUACAGGCAAUAAACAUUAUAUAUGUUGUUACACAGGGC
rnacentral:lncRNA from 1 species